AUUGAACGCUGGCGGCAGGCCUAACACAUGCAAGUCGAGCGGCAGCGGGAAAGUAGCUUGCUACUUUUGCCGGCGAGCGGCGGACGGGUGAGUAAUGCCUGGGAAAUUGCCCAGUCGAGGGGGAUAACAGUUGGAAACGACUGCUAAUACCGCAUACGCCCUACGGGGGAAAGCAGGGGACCUUCGGGCCUUGCGCGAUUGGAUAUGCCCAGGUGGGAUUAGCUAGUUGGUGAGGUAAUGGCUCACCAAGGCGACGAUCCCUAGCUGGUCUGAGAGGAUGGUACGCCACACUGGAACUGAGACACGGUCCAGACUCCUACGGGAGGCAGCAGUGGGGAAUAUUGCACAAUGGGGGAAACCCUGAUGCAGCCAUGCCGCGUGUGUGAAGAAGGCCUUCGGGUUGUAAAGCACUUUCAGCGAGGAGGAAAGGUUGAUGCCUAAUACGUAUCAACUGUGACGUUACUCGCAGAAGAAGCACCGGCUAACUCCGUGCCAGCAGCCGCCGUAA
rnacentral:rRNA from 1 species